GUACACUCCUACGGGAGGCAGCAGUGGGGAAUUUUGGACAAUGGGCGAAAGCCUGAUCCAGCAAUGCCGCGUGUGUGAAGAAGGCCUUCGGGUUGUAAAGCACUUUUGUCCGGAAAGAAAUCCUUGGCUCUAAUACAGUCGGGGGAUGACGGUACCGGAAGAAUAAGCACCGGCUAACUACGUGCCAGCAGCCGCGGUAAUACGUAGGGUGCGAGCGUUAAUCGGAAUUACUGGGCGUAAAGCGUGCGCAGGCGGUUUGCUAAGACCGAUGUGAAAUCCCCGGGCUCAACCUGGGAACUGCAUUGGUGACUGGCAGGCUAGAGUAUGGCAGAGGGGGGUAGAAUUCCACGUGUAGCAGUGAAAUGCGUAGAGAUGUGGAGGAAUACCGAUGGCGAAGGCAGCCCCCUGGGCCAAUACUGACGCUCAUGCACGAAAGCGUGGGGAGCAAACAGGAUUAGAUACCCGAGUAGUCCCAUGAU
rnacentral:rRNA from 1 species